UCUUUUGCGUGUGCAGCUUUGUGUCCAUAGCCACAAGUAGGACAACACUUACACGUGCAAGCUUGCGUGGCUUGAAGUUCUUGCGGUUGAGGGCAAUUUCC
rnacentral:lncRNA from 1 species